UCUCGCAAUAGCUACCAAAUUCAGUUGCGUGUACGAAUGCAUGCUCUGAAUAUAUUAUCAGCCUCCGUUUUGCAUUUGUUUAGUGAAUUAAAGAGGGGUACCGAUCCUGUCUCGUCCACUUUUUGAGUCGUCGCUAUCUUCGGCCAGACUUUUCUCCUCUGCACCUGUACACAUUUAUCUCGAACAAACCCUCCAUCAAGACUGGAGAAGCCCAAAGAAGGCUGCCAUUCAAUGUGUUUUUUAAGAUGAAGCCCCUCGUUUCUUUUUCACCCCACUUGAAAUAUUUUAUGAAACCAUGUGGGGACAUCAUUAUGUUUUCUUUUUUUUUUUGUUGGUGAAAACAGAGGACAUUAUAUUGCAGAAAUAAACUUGUUAUAGAGAUGACAACAAAGCAAAGACAGAUGCAUGUUACCUGUACAAGCCAUAACCCCAACACAUAGAAACCUGAUUUCAUUUAAAGAGGAAGGAUUAACGAUACAUGUGCUAAAUAUGGCUCUUCAAUAAUGGUUGCGUAAUUUCUACCAAAAAAUAAUAAUAAUAAUAAUCGUUGUGUGAUGCUUCAGCCCUGCGGUCUCUGUCCAUUAGCGAUUUUAGUCACCAUAAUCAAGAACCGGGCAUUCUCGCCCAUUUAUCACGACAUUUUAUGGCCACGUGCAUCACCCACCAAAUAAAUAAAUAAAAAUCCAAAUUUGCAUUGCUAUGCACGAGAACCAAAGACCAGAGGCCCUCUGUGGCGAGCCCUUUUGAUUUCUCACCACUUGACGCGGACGCAAAGCAUCUUGAUAAUAUCGGUUAACAAGGCCAAAUAUAAAAAAACAAAUAUAAAUGAUUCAACGCAACCAUUGGAUGUAUUACUUACACAUCAAAAAUUAUAUAAGUUAAACAUCCUGAGCUUAUACAUGUAAGUAAUUAAAUAUUAUUUAGACUAUUUAAUUUUUUGAUUAUUUGAUAAUUAGGUAUCUUCAUAUCAUAUGAUUUUAAAUAUGUAAAUAGUUCAGAUGUAGCAGAUCACAUUCUAUGAUUUGUAUUAUUAAUAUGAGAUCCCCAUUAUCUGAUCAGAUUUGAGCAAAAAUUCACUUGAGUUUAGCCAAGUCUAGCACUAUAUAUAUAUAGUGAAGGCAUUAUUAAAAUUUAAAAAUAUUAAAUAAUAUUUUCUCAAUUUUGGGCUAAAUUCAACACAUCUACUAACUUCAAGAAGCUUCAAACGAGCCUCUCAAGUUUGUAAAGUAUUCCAAAUUGUUCUUUUGACUUCCUGACCAGCGGAUGACAUUAAUCUCCUAUUUCAAUUGAUGAAAAUGCCUUUUUCUUCUUUUUUAGCUUGUUCCAACUUUAAGAUCUUUGCAAAUGGAUGAAUAAUUUAGAUCACCCACAUAGUCACUUUAGGUCUAUGUAGGCGAAUGAGUAUUUGGAUAAUUCAUGCACUUGCUUUGAGAUAUUUACAGGUGGAUGAAUAUUUAAAUUGUUUCAAGAUUUGUGUAGGUGGAUGAGUAAGCCAAUCAUCCAUUGAUUGCUUUGUGUAGAUAGAUGCAUAUUUGCAUCAUUCAUCACAUAGAUCUCGAAGUGCUCUAAACUCUUUGUUCACUCACAUACAUAGAUCUCAAAGCAACUAAUGCAUGAUCAGGAUCAUUCAUCCACCUACAUAGAUCUCAAAGUGAUUAGCAGAUGAUCUAAUUGUCAAUCUAUAUGCAUAAAUCUCAAAGAAACUGCAUGGAUGAUUUAGAUUAUUAAUCCUUCAAUAUAGAUUUUAAAGCAAACAAUGGAUCCUCAAGAUUAUUUAUCCAUUGGGGUAGAUCUAAAAGCAAUUGCGGAUCAUCCAGAUAUUCAUCUACCUGCAUAGAUUUCAAAGCAAUCACGGAUGAUUUAAAUAUUUAUUCACCUGUACAAAUUUUAAAGCAACCAUGGAUGAUCUACAUAUUCAUCCAUAUGCAUAGGUGUCAAAGCAAUUAAUAAUGAUCUAGAUAUUCAUCUACCCAUAUAGAUCUCGGAGCAACCAUAGAUGAUCCAAAUUUUCAUCUAUCUGCAUAGAUCUUAAAGUAAUCAAUGGAUAAUUAGGAUUAUUCAUCCAUUUGCAUAGAUAUCAAUACAUCUGUAGAUGAUGUAAAUAUUCAUCUUUUUGCAUAGAUCUCAAAGCAACAAUAAUUGAUCCAUCGAUUGCUUUGAGACUUGUGUAAGUGGAUGAACCAAAGUUUGUUGUACUGCCCCAUACCAUCCGAUAUAAGCCAUAUCAUAUAGUAUUGGUAUGCCAUAUCAUCUUGUGCUAAUAUUAUUGCACCACAGGGAAUUGCAUAUCGACACUAUAAUAGUAUGAUACCUGAUAUGGGGUCCGACACUAAGACGGUAAACUAUGAGAUGAACAUCAAAAUCAUUCAUAAUUGCUUUGAGAUUUAUGCAAGUGGAUGAAUAUCUAGAUUAUCCGUGAUUGUUUUGCAAUCGGUGUAAAUGGAUGAAUAAUCCUAAUAAUCUAUUGAUCACUUUGAGAUUUGUAUAGAUGGAUAAAUAUUUGGAUUAUCUAUGGUUGCUUCAAAAUCUGUACAGUUAAAUGAAUAUCUAGAUCAUUCGUAGUGCUUUAAGAUCCAAGUAGACAAAUGAAUAUUUGGAUCAUU
rnacentral:lncRNA from 1 species